rnacentral:rRNA from 1 species
UACGUAGGGUGCGAGCGUUGUCCGGAAUUACUGGGCGUAAAGAGCUCGUAGGCGGCUUGUCGCGUUGUCCGUGAAAAUUUACCGCUCAACGGUGAACUUGCGGGCGAUACGGGCAGGCUAGAGUACUGCAGGGGAGACUGGAAUUCCUGGUGUAGCGGUGAAAUGCGCAGAUAUCAGGAGGAACACCGGUGGCGAAGGCGGGUCUCUGGGCCGGUACUGACGCUGAGGAGCGAAAGCGUGGGGAGCGAACAGG